CUGGGCCGUUUCACCUGCCGGGUGCGCUGCUCGCGGAGCCAGGCCGGUGGUUGGGACAUCUCCCGCAGAAGCGUGCGUAAAUGCAGCCGGGCGACACUGGAAACCGAGGGCUAUUAAGAUAAGUAGCUGAAACACUGCAAGAACUCUGUCUAUGAUCUUCUAAAGUUCAAGCGCUUCAUGGACCAGUGCUUCAGAUAAACUCCACUUUUAAACUAAGCUUUAGCUGAUGUAGGAGCAAUUCCAAUUCCAAACCCUUCUCCACUAAGGAGUCCAACGUGGGAUUCUUCAGAUAUCCUGUGCUCCACCUGUAAAUACCAGAUGCCAAGAUAUUAAAAAAAGUCAAAGCUCAAGUUUCACAAAGUUUUCUCAUUAUAAACCCUGAAGAAAGCUUCUGGAUCGGGUGAUUUUUGAGAAGGUGUUUAACUCACGUCUGAAUGCCAUACGUUUGAAUGUCAGCAGCCAACCCCAGUAACAUAGAUUGCUGAGCCCUGGAAGUUAGGUCAGAAUAUGGCACAUCAAUCACAUCUUUGUGAUGCUCAAGCAAAACCAUGCUUAGCAUAGUUGCAGCAUGAGCCCAUGCCAGAGCCGAGGUGGCAAGAAUGAGAGCAGGGUAUGGUCAACAUGAAACUGAAAUGCUAAUUGAAAAAACUCAUGUAAACAUGGAGAAUGUACACACAAACAUGGAGAAAGCUGGUGUAGAAGCUACAUCGAGUGCGCUCAAGGAGGACUAUGAAGUUGUGGCUGCUUUAGCAGAGGCAAAGGUGUAUGAAGCAGCACUGACUUAAGACAGUGAUGGUCAUUUCUCUAGGAAGGUGACUGAAGAACCAUCCAUUGGUGCAAGUCCUCUAAUAUGACGUGAUUGUUCAACAUGUGAUGAAAUCAAACCAGCAGACAAAGAUAGGAACCAGCUUUCUGCCAUACUUCACACCAAAUUUUUACCCAAUACUCAAAGGUUCAUAUAUUAUUAAAGUAUACAAACCUGAAAUUCUUCUUCUCUGGGUAGCCAUGAAACCAAGAAAGAAAAGAAAGGCAGCACGGUCAUCAACUCCCAAAUCCACCCCCUCCCCUCACAAAAGAACAAAAAAGGAACAGGCAUGUCAAACCCCAAAUUCCUCCUCACACACAAAAAAAGAACAAAAAUGGAACGGGUAAAUCAACCCCCACCCACACAAAAAAAACGAGGAAGACUGGGUGAAAAACACAUAAUAUAAAAAACAAUAAGACUUUUCAAAAAUCUAUGGUCCA